AACUGAGGGUAGCGGAGAAAUUCCAAUCGAACUUGGAGAUAGCUGGUUCUCUCCGAAAUAGCUUUAGGGCUAGCCUCAAGUGAUGAUUAUUGGAGGUAGAGCACUGUUUGGACGAGGGGCCCCUCUCGGGUUACCGAAUUCAGACAAACUCCGAAUGCCAAAUAAUUUAACUUGGGAGUCAGAAUGUGGGUGAUAAGGUCCAUAUUCGAAAGGGAAACAGCCCAGACCACCAGCUAAGGUCCCAAAAUAUAUGUUAAGUGGAAAAGGAUGUGGCGUUGCCCAGACAACUAGGAUGUUGGCUUAGAAGCAGCCAUCAUUUAAAGAGUGCGUAAUAGCUCACUAGUCGAGUGACACUGCGCCGAAAAUGUACCGGGGCUAAACAUAUUACCGAAGCUGUGGAUUGUCCUUUGGACAAUGGUAGGAGAGCGUUCUAAGGGCGUUGAAGCAUGAUCGCAAGGACAUGUGGAGCGCUUAGAAGUGAGAAUGCCGGUGUGAGUAGCGAAAGACGGGUGAGAAUCCCGUCCACCGAUUGACUAAGGUUUCCAGAGGAAGGCUCGUCCGCUCUGGGUUAGUCGGGUCCUAAGCUGAGGCCGACAGGCGUAGGCGAUGGAUAACAGGUUGAUAUUCCUGUACCACCAUUAUUCGUUUUAAGCGAUGGGGGGACGCAGUAGGAUAGGCGAAGCGUGCUGUUGGAGUGCACGUCCAAGCAGUGAGAUUGAGUGUUAGGCAAAUCCGGCACUCUUAAGAUUGAGCUGUGAUGGGGAGAGGAACUUGUUCCUCGAGUCGUUGAUUUCACACUGCCGAGAAAAGCCUCUAGCUAGAAUAACGGUGCCCGUACCGCAAACCGACACAGGUAGUCAAGAUGAGAAUUCUAAGGUGAGCGAGCGAACUCUCGUUAAGGAACUCGGCAAAAUGACCCCGUAACUUCGGGAGAAGGGGUGCUCUUUGAGGUUCACGCUUCGAAGAGCCGCAGUGAAUAGGCCCAAGCGACUGUUUAUCAAAAACACAGGUCUCUGCUAAACCGUAAGGUGACGUAUAGGGGCUGACGCCUGCCCGGUGCUGGAAGGUUAAGAGGAGUGGUUAGCGCAAGCGAAGCUACGAAUCGAAGCCCCAGUAAACGGCGGCCGUAACUAUAACGGUCCUAAGGUAGCGAAAUUCCUUGUCGGGUAAGUUCCGACCCGCACGAAAGGCGUAACGAUUUGGGCACUGUCUCAACGAGAGACUCGGUGAAAUCAUAGUACCGGUGAAGAUGCCGGUUACCCGCGACAGGACGGAAAGACCCCGUGGAGCUUUACUGUAGCCUGAUAUUGAAAUUCGGUACAGUUUGUACAGGAUAGGUAGGAGCCUUAGAAGCGUGAGCGCUAGCUUACGUGGAGGCAUUGGUGGGAUACUACCCUAAUUGUAUUGGAUUUCUAACCCGCAGCACUUAUCGUGCUGGGAGACAGUGUCAGGCGGGCAGUUUGACUGGGGCGGUCGCCUCCUAAAGAGUAACGGAGGCGCUCAAAGGUUCCCUCAGAAUGGUUGGAAAUCAUUCAUAGAGUGUAAAGGCAUAAGGGAGCUUGACUGCGAGACCUACAAGUCGAGCAGGGUCGAAAGACGGACUUAGUGAUCCGGUGGUUCCGCAUGGAAGGGCCAUCGCUCAACGGAUAAAAGCUACCCCGGGGAUAACAGGCUUAUCUCCCCCAAGAGUUCACAUCGACGGGGAGGUUUGGCACCUCGAUGUCGGCUCAUCGCAUCCUGGGGCUGUAGUCGGUCCCAAGGGUUGGGCUGUUCGCCCAUUAAAGCGGUACGCGAGCUGGGUUCAGAACGUCGUGAGACAGUUCGGUCCCUAUCCGUCGUGGGCGUAGGAAAUUUGAGAGGAGCUGUCCUUAGUACGAGAGGACCGGGAUGGACAUACCUCUGGUGUACCAGUUGUCGUGCCAACGGCAUAGCUGGGUAGCUAUGUAUGGACGGGAUAAGUGCUGAAAGCAUCUAAGCAUGAAGCCCCCCUCGAGAUGAGAUUUCCCAACUUCGGUUAUAAG
rnacentral:rRNA from 1 species